GACGAACGCUGGCGGCGUGCAUAACACAUGCAAGUCAAGGGGGUCAGUAGCAAUACUGGCAACCGGCGAACGGGUGCGUAACACGUAAGCGACCUACCUCGAUGUGGGGCAUAGCCGGCCUAACGGCCGGGUAAUUCCGCAUAAGAUCCCGAUGAGGCAUCUCAUUGGGAUGAAACCAGUAAUGGGCGUCGAGAGGGGCGUUNCGGCCUAUCAGCUAGUUGGUGAGGAACGGCUCACCAAGGCUACGACGGGUAGCUGGUCUGAGAGGAUGGCCAGCCACAUUGGGGACUGAGAUACGGCCCAGACUCCUACGGGGAGGCAGCAGUGGGGAAUCUUGCGCAAUGGCCUAACGGCUGACGCAGCGACGCCGCGUGAGGGAUGAAGCUUUUCGGAGUGUAAACCUCUGUU
rnacentral:rRNA from 1 species